rnacentral:rRNA from 1 species
AACGAACGCUGGCGGUAUGCUUAACACAUGCAAGUCGAACGAACAAAAUUGGGGCUUGCUCCAAUUUUAGUGAGUGGCAAACGGGUGAGUAACACGUGGGAAUCUACCUAUCAGUACGGAAUAACAUUUGGAAACAGAUGCUAAUACCGUAUAUUCUCCAAGGAGGAAAGAUUUAUCGCUGAUAGAUGAGCCCGCGUAAGAUUAGGUAGUUGGUAGGGUAAUGGCCUACCAAGCCGACGAUCUUUAGCUGGUCUGAGAGGAUGAUCAGCCACACUGGACUGAGACACGGCCCAGACUCCUACGGGAGGCAGCAGUGGGGAAUAUUGGACAAUGGGCGAAAGACCUGAUCCAGCAAUACCGCGUGAAUGAUGAAGG